GAUGAACGCUGGCGGCGUGCCUAAUACAUGCAAGUCGAGCGAAGCGGGGAGGGGUGAGUAACACGUGGAUAACCUCCUAUAUGACUGGGAUAACUUCGGGUAACCGGAGCUAAACCGGAUAAUUAUAGAUGGAUACGCGCUGCAGUGGCUAGUUGUUAAGGUAACGGCUUACCAAGGCCACGAUGCAUAGCCGACCUGAGAGGGGGAUCGGCCACACUGGAACUGAGACACGGUCCAGACUCCUACGGGAGGCAGCAGUGGGGAAUCUUCCGCAAUGUGCGAAAGCCUGACGGAGCAACGCCGCGUGAGUGAUGAAGGUCUUCGGAUCGUAAAACUCUGUUAUUAGGGAAGCGGUACCUAAUCAGAAAGCCACGGCUAACUACGUGCCAGCAGCCGCGGUAAUUC
rnacentral:rRNA from 1 species